GUAGUCUGUGGCCUGGUGGCUAUGGUGCUUGGCUGGGACCCAGUAGGUAGGUGGUUCAAGCCCCAGCUACA